GCGUCGGUAAGUGCAACGGUUCAGCACCCUCUUUCGGAAAGAGUGAAAUUUGAGUUCGAAUCCCGGCUGACGCA